UGAACUGGAGGUUCCAAUCGGUCUCGCCGUGCCGUAGAAGCAGCACCUCCGUAGAUGCGUCUGUCAUAGCUCUACAGGCCUUUGCAGCGCGCUGCUUAUCCUGAAGACUGCGUCGCUCACCUCUGAGCAUCUUCCUUUGAUUGUUGUUGUGACUCACAAAUCGUGAUAUCUUGUCGGUAUAUCUAUCCACAGAUCCUUAUUUUAUGUCACACAA
rnacentral:lncRNA from 1 species